UACGAAGGGGGCUAGCGUUGCUCGGAAUCACUGGGCGUAAAGGGUGCGUAGGCGGGUCUUUAAGUCAGGGGUGAAAUCCUGGAGCUCAACUCCAGAACUGCCUUUGGGACUGCGAGGCUUUGAGGACUGGAGAGGUGAGUGGAAUUCCCAGUGUAGAGGUGAAAUUCGUAGAUAUUGGGAAGAACACCGGUGGCGAAGGCGGCUGACUGGAUCGCAACUGACACUGAGGAACGAAAGCUAGGGGAGCAAACAGG
rnacentral:rRNA from 1 species